rnacentral:tRNA from 1 species
GGUCUCGUGGCCUAAUGGUAAGGGUACGUUCAAACCCCCAAUCUUGAAUUUUUCAAAUUUGACAAAAUUUGACAAAAUCCAAAUAAAAUUGCGCUUAAACUAACGCUAAUUUAGCGCCAGUUUCCGGAUUGGGAAUUACUGGAGAUUGCGAGUUCGAGUCUCGUCGGGAUCG